UACGUAGGCAGCGAGCGUUGUUCGGAGUUACUGGGCGUAAAGGGUGUGUAGGCGGUUGUUUAAGUUUGGUGUGAAAUCUCCCGGCCCAACUGGGAGGGUGCGCCGAAUACUGAAUGACUAGAGUGCGGGAGAGGUGAGUGGAAUUCCUGGUGUAGCGGUGAAAUGCGUAGAUAUCAGGAGGAACACCGGUGGUGUAGACGGCUCACUGGACCGUAACUGACGCUGAGACACGAAAGCGUGGGUAGCAAACAGG
rnacentral:rRNA from 1 species